rnacentral:pre_miRNA from 1 species
UCAUACUGGGAUACCCAAAAUGGGAGCACUUUCCCUUUUGUCUGUGCUGGGAAGUGCUUCGAUUUUGGGGUGUCCCUGUUUGA